UGCGUAGGUGGCCUGACAAGUCAGGGGUCAAAGGCAACGGCUCAACCGUUGUAAGCCCUUGAAACUGUCGGGCUUGAGUUCAGGAGAGGAAAGCGGAAUUCCUAGUGUAGCGGUGAAAUGCGUAGAUAUUAGGAGGAACACCAGUGGCGAAGGCGGCUUUCUGGACUGAUACUGACACUGAGGCACGAAAGCGUGGGGAGCAAACA
rnacentral:rRNA from 2 species